UGCCAGCAGCCGCGGUAAUACGGAGGGUGCAAGCGUUAAUCGGAAUUACUGGGCGUAAAGCGAGUGUAGGCGGCUACGUAAGUCGGAUGUGAAAUCCCAGGGCUCAACCCUGGAACUGCCUUUAAAACUGUUAGUCUUGAGAUCGAGAGAGGUGAGUGGAAUUCCAAGUGUAGAGGUGAAAUUCGUAGAUAUUUGGAGGAACACCAGUGGCGAAGGCGGCUCACUGGCUCGAUACUGACGCUGAGGUACGAAAGUGUGGGGAGCAAACAGGAUUAGAUA
rnacentral:rRNA from 1 species